AUAUUCUAGACUCUGCCAAGAGAGAGGAUUACUACAUAUUGCAGAGCCCAGCACCUAGGUGGUAUUGCUCCAUAUGCCUGAGACCCUAACAAAAGCCUAAUUACAACUCAUAUGCCUGGAGCCAGGACAUGUGCAGGAUGGUGAUGUAACUUUCCUCUCUGGAAUGGGUCCUGCACAAAGGAAUGAUAGUAACAUAUUGCAAAGCCAGACACACAGCCAUGAUGGUCCAAGUUAUAUUGGGAUUCAGCCAAUAGAAGAUAUUUUGCCUGUCAUCCCUAAGCUUAGGACAAUAGGGUCCUGCCCACAAGAAAGAUUGUGACAUCUCACUGGACAAGCACCCACCCAGACUCUGCCAAGAGAGGGGAUUAUUACAUAUUGCAGAGCCCAGCACCUAGGUGGAGUGACUCUCAUCUUUUUCUUCUACCCCGUAUAUAGCCAGCUUGGUGACCUACUAUUUGAGUCUAUACCCAGGCCCAGACCACAGAUGAAAUUGUGCAAUAUGUGGAACAAACACCUAAACAAUAUAUAACACCUUCCUUGGCUCUGUCUACAAAGGGCACUUUUAUAUAUCACUGGGACCAUCAACCAGGUGAUGUUGUGCCAUAUAACUGAGACCGUAUCAAAAGCCUAAUAACAAGACGUAUGUCUGGAGCCCCGAUAUGCACAGGAUGGUGAUAUAACCCUCUUCUCUGGAAUGGGCCCCACACAAAGGAAGGAUAGUGACAUAUUGCAAGCCCAGGCACACAGGCCCAGAGCACAGUUGAAAUUGUGACAUAUGUACACCAAGCAACCAAGCAAUGUAUAACACCUCAUUUGGCAAUGGAAUCGAGGGCACUUUUACAUAUCACUGAGACCAGCGCCCAGCUGAUGUGAAAUAUUGGCCUGAACCCUGCCUACAAAAGCAUUGUGGCUUUUAUCUAGCUCCAUUACAUAAGUGAUGUGACUUCCUUCUACUGCCUUGGCCCUGCACUUAUGGUGAAUCGUGACACAAAAUUGGGUAGAGCAACCAGCCUGGGCCCUGACCAGCACAGAGAUUGAGGCAUAUUGCUGAACCCAGGACCAAGAUGAAGUCACUCUCCUGCCUUGAUCCUGCACACAGGGACCCUUGUGACAUAUAUACAGGCCAAUUGCCUAGGUGAUGUUGUGCAAUAUACCUGAGACCAGAUCAAUGGCCUAAUAAUGACUCUUUUACCUAGAGCCAGGACAUGUGCAGGAUGGUAACUCUCAUCCCUGAACCUUUCCACAGGUGUUAUUGUCACAUAUACCUUUUCCAGCUCCAAAGUGAUUUAAUAAUCCAGCCUAGUUAUAGCCCACAGAUAAUAUUUGGACAUAUACCUGAGUCAAGAACCUUGGUGAUUUGACUCUCAUGUCUUAACAGUGUCCUCAGAAGGGAUCAUAACAUAUCUCUGGACCCAUCAUCUAGGUUAUGUGACUCUCUUCUCCUGCCUGAACCCUGCUUCCAGUGAAGAGUGUUGCAUUUCUAAGCACUGCAUCCAAAUGACAUGAGUUUCUUGCCUGGGCCGUUUCAACAGAAGGCAUUGUGACAUAUCUCUAGGUCUAUCAUUUAGGUGAUAUGACUCUCCUCUCCUGCCUGGACACUCUCCACAAGGGGCAUUAUGCCAUAGAGCUAGAGCUAGCAACCAAGUUUUGUGAAUUUUCUGUUAGGGCCUUGCCUACAAAGAGAAUUUUGGAAUAUUUCUGGCUUAGAAUUUAAGUAAUGUGGUUGUUCUGCCUGUUCAGUAACCACAGAGGAGAAGGUGAAAUAUAUCUAGGCACCGCAAACAGGCAUGAUAAUGAGUCUUGUAUGUGGACCCAGCAAAUAGGAGAAAUUUUGACUCUUAUAACUAGGUUUAGGAACAUGAGUGAUGUCCAGGAUCUCCUUCUGGUAAGAAGGUCACAGAAGAUUGCAACACUCACAAUUAUUUUGUAACACCUUUGGGUUGUAUAGGGAGUGUCGUAACAGGGCCAAACACACAGAGGAAAUUGUGACAGUCAUAUGCACACCUACCUGACAGUAAAGACUUUCACAAUCACAAAUGGAUGAAGGCAACUGUCCUACAUGAAAACAGGACAUGUGUGGUAUUGUACAUCUAAAACCUAGAAUUUUAUUCCAUUGUGACUGUGAUAUAAAUCAAUGCCAAGCAC
ensembl:lncRNA LINC00293 long intergenic non-protein coding RNA 293